rnacentral:tRNA from 1 species
GUGAGUAUAGCUCAGUGGUAGAGUGCAUGCUUAGCAUGCAUAGGGUGCUGGGUUCAAUCCCCAGUACCUCUG